AUUUUUUUGGACAGUUUUCAGGCUUAUUUUGAAGGGGAAAAAAGCGGGAAACAUGUUAUUCAUGAUGUGAUAAUGCUAUCCAAUUAGGAAUAUCAUUCUGACGAAACAAUUCAUUCUAUUUGACAGUUUUCAGGCUUAUUUUGAAAAAAAAGCAGGAAAUGUCUUAUUCAUGAUGUUAUAAUGCUAUCCAAUUAGAAAUAUCAUUCUGAUUUUGUUGACAUAGUAUACCUGGCAUAUAUUUUAUUUUCUUAAAACGCUGAUUAUAUUAAUUCUGGACACAUUUUAUAGAGAGAAAAUUGUUGGGCCUAUUUAUGUCUACAAUCGUACCUUGUUCUUAGUUUGACAAGUAUACUUUAUACAAGUAUAUAUAUAGAUAAAGUAUACACCAGUUAUACUUUCCUUAAUUACUCCAAAUGUCAGGUGCAAACCUCUUUAAACAAGAAAUAAUUUCAAUGUAAUGGUAAUAUUUUAGAUUUUAAAAAAGGUUGAAGAAAAGAUAAUGAUCCAUUUAAAAAUGAUUGCUGAGCAUGUACAUAUGUACGACACAGUAAAUUUCAUUUUUACUUAUUAGCUCAAUGACUUACAUGUAUGAACAUGCUUGCAUGCAUGGAUAAAAACAAAUAUUUUUUUAACUUUGGAAAUAAAAGAAAAAGAUGCAAAAAUUGAAUCGUCAGAGAAUACUGAUUAUUUAACAUUUACUGGUUCAUUGCUCUAUUAAAUUCAUUCAAACUGAAAAUGAAAUGGUUGCAUCUCUUUCACCAUUUUUGUACAUUCAAUCUGAGUGUCGUUAAAAUACAUGUGCAAUUUGUUUAUUCCAGGCCUCUUCUCAAAGACAGAUGUUACAUAAAUCUAUACAUUUUAAUAUAUGUAAAUGGCAACAGUCUUAAAUGCAUUAUGCAGACAGUUCCGAUAAACAAUUUUGAUGAAACAUAUUUUUUAUUUAAUAACAAAACAAACUUGAUUAAACAAUUGUGUAACCAGACAAAUUAUUGCUAUAUACAAAAAAAAACUAUUAAGGGCAGAGAUAUAUAUGUAUAUCAUGUCUAUUAAUUGCUGGAGACUACUGUGUUAAAAUUACUUCGAGGGCUACGAAUGUAUUAGAUUUUGUUCUACCUGGUGGUUUUAAAAUAACUGUUUCCUUUCCAUUAUUUGCAGAUUUUCACUGUUGAAAGUCCGUCUUAAAGAAAUUUUGAAAUAACUGCUCGGGAAUUCCCAACAAUGUCCACGUCCUAGAUCCCAAACCAAAAUGACUUGCACGUUUUGCACAGUCUGUAAGUUUCUAAGGGAGUGGUUUGAAUGGGCUGCAUGUUUCUAUGGGCGUGGCUGAUCGUGUCCGGAACAAUUCUUGCACAAAACGGUUUAUACGGAACGCUGAACGGUCUGUAUGGAACAGUUAAAACUUUGCAAGGAACGCUGAACGGUUUGCAUGAAACAAAAUGUUUUGGAGGUGUAGUAGCAUGCUUCAGGGUCUGUACAACUUCUCCAGGAGAACUCGUACCCAGCUAUAUCUGGUUACGAGUUCUCCAGGAGAAAAACUUUGUCAUUUUACCAAAUAUAGUAAUGUGGGUACAAGUUCUCCUAGAGAAAAACUUUAUCAAUUUUAUUAUAAAAAUCUAGGUAAAAGUUCUCCCGGAGAAAAAAAUUGUAAAUAUAUUAUAUAUAGUAACCAACCACCAGAUUUUUAUGACAAAAAUGACAAGGAAAGUUUUUCUCCAGGAGAGCUCGUACCCAAAUUUAUAUAUAAAAUGAAAAAGUUUUUCAAGGAGAGCACGUACCCAGAUUUACAUUUGAUAAAAUGACAAAGUUUUUCCCUAGGAGAACCCAGAAUUCUAUUUAAUAAAAUGACGAAGUUUUUCUCCAGAAGAACUCGUACCCAAAAAUGACAAAGUUUUUGUCCAGAAUUCAUACCCAAAUUUAUAUGAUAAACAUUUUUUUCCCAGGGAGAACUCGUACCCAAAUUUUCAUGACAAAAAAUAGUAACAGUUUUUUUCCCAGGAGAACUCAUACCCAGAUUUCCAUGCAUUUAAUAAAAUGCAGUGAUUUUUCUACAUUUUUAACAAGGGUCCUGUGGCUUUCGAAUUGGGAAAAAUUGUCAACAUUUCAGUCAAAUUGGGAAAAAUCAAUUUUAUCGUAAAUAAGUUUUAAAAUCAUAUAUCAAACAUUAUGUUAUUUUUAUUUUACACAUCUAAUUUUCUUUUAACCUUCUAAAAUUUUCAUCUAUUCUAUUCAGAUCAUCAUUCCCAUAACUCUUUGUUAAGUCUUAUGUAUAUAAUUCACAUCGAAUGUUUAUUUUUUUCGACAAUUUUUAGGAGGGGAAAGGGCUGAAAUUUGGACCCAAAAUGGGCCUUAAAAAAUCACUGAAAUGACAAUGUUUUUUUCUCAUGGGGAACUCAUACUCAGGCUUUUAAGACAAAAAUGACAAAGUUUUUCUGCAGGAGAACUCGUAACCAGAUUUACAACAUAAAAUGACGUUUCUCCGGGAUAACUCAUACCCAAAUCUUUAUAAUAAAAUUGACAGUUUUCUCCAUUAGAACUUGUAUCCACAUUUCUAUUUGGUAAAAUGACAAAGUUUUUAUCCAGGAGAAUUUGUACCCAGAUAUUGAUGGGUACGACUUCUCCUGGAGAACUCUUACCCAGGUACGAGUUCUCCUGGAGAAGUUGUACCCAGGCAUGUACAAUUUCUCCAAGGGAACUCGUACCCAAAGUGAGUUCUCCAGAAGUCAUAAAUAUUACCCCAAAAAGACAUAUACAAGUCUGAAGACUUCUUUUGUAUUUUAAGAGUCUUUGAUAUGAUUUUUUUUAUGUAUUACACCUAAUAAAGUGUAGUACACAAAAAAAAUUAUCAGAUAAAUAUAUAAGAAAUUAGUUUGAAUAAGAAUGUUAUAUUAAGAAAGAAACGUACUAUAAUCGAUAAUCGUAUUUAAAAGCUUCACCAAUUUUUCUGAUUGAUUAUUAUUGUCUGAUUCCUAACACUAUGAAAUGUCAUGGUCAUGUUAUUAAAUCUAGUGAGUACAUCAAAUAUCUGGGAAUAACAAUUGAUAAAAUUUUUAAAAUGUCAACUCCAGACUUAAGUUUCUUUAUAGAAAUGGAAAGUGGUUGAAUAAAAGGUCAAGGUUAACAUUAUCUUCUGCACUUAUUCAGUGCUACUUUGACUAUUGCUCUUCUGCAUGGUAUGAAAGCUUAUCUAAAUCAUUGAAGAAGAAGAAGAAGUUACAAGUUCUUCGAAACAAAACAAUAAGAUUCAUCUUAAAUCUGAACCCCAGAACUAGUAUAAAUUGUGAUAUUUUAGAUUCAAUAAACACUCUGUGUAGCAGAUCGUAUUAAACAAUUAAGACUCAACCAUGUCUUUAACAUCAACCAUGGUCUCGCACCAAAUUAUUUACAUGAGAAAUUUGACAGAAAUGAUAAUGCUACUAGGAGAGCCUCCAAUUUUAAUUAUCAUGUUCCUAGAGUUAGGGCCUACAGUUCAAAUUUUUAUCAUCAUGCCAUUUGAAACUGGAAUUUUCUUCUUUUGGAAGUAAAAAACAUAGCUAAAAAAGCUAGUUUUAAAUCUGCUGUCAAGUUGCAUCUUGCUCAUAGGAAGGAAGAACGCAUUUAUUAAUACAUAAUGUUUUAUAUGGUGUAUAAUGAUACAUUUUUUUAAAUAUUUUGUAUCAAUAUAAAAUCAAACAAUGUACGUAACUUUUACUUAAUUUGGGCUAGGGAAAUCAUCUAAUGUUCAAUCUUAUUUUUGUCUAUGCUGUCUUAGUCAUACAUAAUCUAUAAUCAACUCAUAACAUCUUAGGGCCCCAUUGGAAAUAAGCAAGUUUUAUAAAUUGCUUUCAUGGGUUAUCCUAGGCAAAGAUUGAUUUAAAGUAUAUAAUUUAUAUUGUCUGUGAUAAGACCUGGUACUGUGAUAAACAUGUAUUUUGAUAAUGAUGUUGUUGGUGGCUAUAGCUGUGAUAAUAUCUCGAGUGCUAUUGUGUACAUAUGAUAGCAAUGUGCCAAAAAUUCAUUGGUGAUCCCUGAUUGACAUUAUAUAAUGUAUUUUACAAUGUAUAUGAUUGUGAUUUGUGAUUAAUCUGAUGCUUUGCCUGAAUAAACAUAAUAAUAAAAAUAUAAAAACAUACUUUAUGUAAUCUAUAUAUAGUGUAGUGUAUUUUUUGUUUGUUGAUCAUUUUGUGAAUGGCACUGCCAUUGACUGCUAUACAAUGCCUACAAGUAAAUGCAUGGAAUUUAUCAUCACGUUUUAGCAAGGAUCACCAUUUACAGAUUUUAUAUUCGCUUUUAUUUUAAUAUUGCUGAAGUAAACCUCUGAAACAUAACAAUGAUCAACAGUUCUCUACAGAGUUCAUGUUCUCACGAUUUAAAGCAAUACAAGCUGUAACUGGUGGCAAAUAAAUUCAAAAAUAAAAGAAUAGAAUAUGACAUAUUUGUGAUUGAAUAUGUAUAAUUUCAUUGAAUCAGAGUGAAUCUGAAGCAAUUUAUCAGGUUGGGAACACUUCCCCUAUAGCGAAAUAUUCUUGCUAAAACGCGAUUAUCUCUCUUUAGCGAGAAAUAAACAUUACCAUAAACAGUUGUUUUGGCGUCUUUAUUGAAAAUAAUGGCAAAUCCCGUGCAAUGCUGAAUAAGUGCGACACACACUCAACAUGAAGCAAAUAUUUUUUCUAUGAAAUUGACAACAUAGUCAAGAAAUUUCAUAUCAAAGUUGCUGCAUAAGACAGCUGUAAGAGGGAAGCAGUCUGAAAUCCAAUACACAUCGUGAGUGUUUUUGUUUUUAUCAAUAUAUUUGUAGAAGCAUCACACAUUUUAUCACUUUUUCUUCUAAAUUUCACGUGAAACACGAGGAGAUGUACUCCACAGGUGUUUUUCUCAGUUGUACGGGAUAUAUUUACUCUUGCUAGAGAGGGAUAAUCGCAUUUUAGCGAGAAUAUCUCGCUACAGGGGAAGUGUUCCCAACCUGUUUAUAGUAAUUUAUACCAUCGAAUAAGCAAAAAUGUCGAUUCAUGAACCAUCAGCUGAUAAUCCCGAGUCAUUCCUGUUGACAGUUCGUUAUCUCCGAUGUGCAUUGAUCUUACGAACGGUUAAAUGAAAAUUAAAAAAAAAUCUUCUAUGAGAAUUUUCCAUAAAUGGUUGGUCACAUGAAAUGACAGGUAUUUGCGCGAUAGCGCUGGGCUUUCCUACUUUCGGUUUAGUCUUACGUCGCGUUGAGGUAUAACAUUGUAUAUUGUAUCCUGCGUCUAACAGAUAAUUAAACUCACCUACAUAAUUUGAUAUUGAAUGUCCUAAUGUGUACCUGACUAUCAUAAAUGAAAUACCUACUUUUACUACGACGUUGAACUCAGUCAUACUGAUCCUGUCAAAUUU